AGAUUGAACGCUGGCGGCAUGCCUUACACAUGCAAGUCGAACGGUAGAGUAGCAAUACUUGAGAGUGGCGAACGGGUGAGUAAUAUAUCGGAACGUGCCCAGUCGUGGGGGAUAACGUAGAGAAAUUUACGCUAAUACCGCAUACGAUCUAAGGAUGAAAGCGGGGGACUCGCAAGAGCCUCGCGCGAUUGGAGCGGCUGAUAUCAGAUUAGGUUGUUGGUGAGGUAAAAGCUCACCAAGCCGACGAUCUGUAGCUGGUUUGAGAGAACGACCAGCCACACUGGGACUGAGACACGGCCCAGACCUCCGUACGGGAGGCAGCAGGUGGGGAAUUUGGGACAAGUGGGACGAAAGCCUGACUCCAGCAAGUGCCGCGUGACAGGAAGAAGGCCGUUGGUUGUAAACUGUACGUUUUGAACGGAACGAACGGUC
rnacentral:rRNA from 1 species